rnacentral:rRNA from 1 species
GCAGUAGCCGCGGUAAUACGAAGGGGGCUAGCGUUGUUCGGAAUUACUGGGCGUAAAGCGCACGUAGGCGGAUUGUUAAGUUAGGGGUGAAAUCCCAGGGCUCAACCCUGGAACUGCCUUUAAUACUGGCAAUCUCGAGUCCGAGAGAGGUGAGUGGAAUUCCGAGUGUAGAGGUGAAAUUCGUAGAUAUUCGGAGGAACACCAGUGGCGAAGGCGGCUCACUGGCUCGGUACUGACGCUGAGGUGCGAGAGCGUGGGGAGCAAACAGGAUUAGAUACCCGGGUAGUCCCUGUCUCUUAUAC